rnacentral:rRNA from 1 species
GGGGAAUAUUGCACAAUGGGGGAAACCCUGAUGCAGCGACGCCGCGUGAGUGAGGACGGCCUUCGGGUUGUAAAACUCUGUUCUUGAGGAAGAAUUCCUUCCAGGCGAACAGCCUGGAAGGUUGACGGUACUCAAGGAGAAAGCCCCGGCUAACUACGUGCCAGCAGCCGCGGUAAUACGUAGGGGGCGAGCGUUAUCCGGAAUUAUUGGGCGUAAAGCGCGCGCAGGCGGCUGAUUAAGUCAGGUGUGAAAGGCUGCGGCUCAACCGCAGAGCGGCACCUGAAACUGGUCAGCUUGAGUGCAGGAGAGGGGAGCGGAAUUCCCGGUGUAGCGGUGGAAUGCGUAGAGAUCGGGAGGAACACCAGUGGCGAAGGCGGCUCUCUGGCCUGUAACUGACGCUGAGGCGCGAAAGCGUGGGGAGCAAAC